GGAGAGGUGUCUGAGAGGCCGAAAGAGCGUGAUUGGAAAUCACGUAUACCCUGAAAAGGGUAUCGAGGGUUCGAAUCCCUCUCUCUCCACCA
rnacentral:tRNA from 1 species